rnacentral:rRNA from 1 species
GGGCUUGACAUCCCACGAACCUGCCUGAAAGGGCGGGGUGCCCGCAAGGGAGCGCGGAGACAGGUGGUGCAUGGCUGUCGUCAGCUCGUGUCGUGAGAUGUUGGGUUAAGUCCCGCAACGAGCGCAACCCUCACCCCUAGUUGCCACCGGGUCAUGCCGAGCACUCAAGGGGAACUGCCAGCGUCAAGCUGGAGGAAGGCGGGGAUGACGUCAAGUCAUCAUGCCCCUUACGCCCUGGGCUACACACGUGCUACAAUGGCCGGUACAAAGGGAUGCGAGACCGCGAGGUGGAGCUAAUCCCAAAAAGCUGGUCUAAGUUCAGAUUGCAGUCUGCAACUCGACUGCAUGAAGGAGGAAUCGCUAGUAAUCGCGCACCAGCCCGGCGCGGUGAAUACGUUCCCGGGCCUUGUACACACCGCCCGUCACACCACGAAAGCUGUCUGUACUCGAAGUCGCUGAG